AUUGAACGCUGGCGGCAUGCCUAACACAUGCAAGUCGAACGGCAGCAUGAGAGAGCUUGCUCUCUUGAUGGCGAGUGGCGGACGGGUGAGUAAUGCAUCGGGACCUGCCCAGACGUGGGGGAUAACGUAGGGAAACUUACGCUAAUACCGCAUACGUCCUACGGGAGAAAGCGGGGGAUCUUCGGACCUCGCGCGGUUGGAUGGACCGAUGUUCGAUUAGCUAGUUGGUGAGGUAAUGGCUCACCAAGGCGACGAUCGAUAGCUGGUCUGAGAGGAUGAUCAGCCACACUGGGACUGAGACACGGCCCAGACUCCUACGGGAGGCAGCAGUGGGGAAUAUUGGACAAUGGGCGCAAGCCUGAUCCAGCAAUGCCGCGUGUGUGAAGAAGG
rnacentral:rRNA from 1 species